UAUAUGAUAUAUAAUAGUGACAUGAAAAACAAAACUUAUUUGUUUUCAAUUUUUUUAUUUUAUCUUUUACAUUCAUUUUCUCACUUUUUAACUAUCUCAUUAAUUAUAUUUACUAUAAUAUUUUGUCAGGAUUAUUUACAUAUUAACUAUAAUAAUUCGACAUAUUUGAAUGAAACCACUCUAUUUGUGAUAAGAAUUCAAAAUGGUUAACAAUUUUUUUUAUUUACUUAUGUAUCGGUUAGACAUGGACAUUCGGAUAACUAUUCAGCUACGAGUUAUUUCUGUGGGUUAUCAUGGUUUUUGAGUUUUGAAACUAGACUUCAUUUCGGUAUUAUAAAUUUUCAUGUGUGUUUCGAAUCGGGUCCAGAUGAAUUCAGUCUUGAUAUAUACAAACCUACAAAUAUCCAAAAACUAAUGUAUUUGACGCCGGUACGGAUAUUUGUAUGAAAAGUAAGAAUAUUAACAGAUUCAAUUCGGGUAUGUUGAAUUCAAAUUAAACUAAAAAUAACCAAUUAACCAAAAGUAAUCAUAUUACUCUAUUUGAUUCAGGUUCGAUUAUGAUGUAUAGAAAUCUAAAAGUAUUUAUGCAAUUAAUUAUAUUAUGAUACAUAUAAAAUAUAUAAUACUAAUCAUAAAAAUAAAAUAUCGAUUUAUAAGAAAGUAAAAAUUAACACCCGCACGGGCGUGCGGGUCAAUCUCUAGUAGUAUCUUAAAUAAUAAAGUAGAGUUUUGUCCCUCAUUCCUUGCGCCACGUCAUCAGGUAGAUGAGGGCAAAUUCUGACACGUGGCACUCCCAAAUAAACGAACUGGGCUUUUAUUAAAUUUUGUUAUUAAGCCCAGAAUUAUGUCAAGUCCAAAAUUAUGUGACUAGGGUUAUUUUUCUUCGUCGUUCUUCUUCUUCCCUGCCUCUUCGUUUCCUUUUCCCUGCCUCUUUGCUCUGACAUUUAUUCUGAGUUUUCCAUUCAUUUGCUCCUUCAUCACCAAGUCUGAGUUAUAGAUAAGGAUGAGAAUUAGGAGAAGCACAAGCCAAGACCAAAACACUAAGGUUAUCUCUCUUUGAAAAACCCUUGCAGAAACGUCUCACCCAUUAGGUUCACACAACAACUUAAAGGAGAGCCAGUGCCACAAGAACUGCUAGAUAGACUGUGCGAGCUCAUAGCUGUUCUUGCUGGUGGUGCAGCUGCAAAAUAUGAAGCACUGAAGGAAGAAGUAUUGGCAAUGAGCCUUCUCGUAGACAAUCCCCUAGCUAGCUGACAAUAACAAACAGCUACCCGGAAGAUGUUAUUGGUGAGCUAAGUACAAUCAGAAGAACGUUCAACACGAUGGCAAAUACCGGAAAAUCGUAUAAUGGCAACUCUACGUAUAGAAAGGGAUGUUACUCUGUGUGUUAGGGACUGGCUCUUACAUUCCAUAGAAAAUUGGAGAGCUAUGAGUCGGAGCCCAAUGUUGUGCUAGCUACCAGCAUAAUUUCCAAGACAGUUGGAGGUUCAUCCAAAGAUUGAUAAGAUUGGGAGAAAGGGUUUAUGCAAAACCUUGGGCUGCAAGAAACUAUCAGUAUAAGCAAGCAAGAACGCUGCACAGAACCAGAUGCUUCCACUGAGAUUGAUGGUUCAAAUAAUAUUCUGGAGCUAGCACGAGCUGCGAUACCCAGAACAACUAACACUGUUACCAAGAAGGAAACAACAGUUUUGAGAAGAAGCUUUGCAACAAAAAGAGAAGAAGACGAUGGAGAAAGAGUUGAAAUUCAACCUAACGAUGAUUUCAGAGCAUCACUCCUUUGAGGUUUAUGGCUUUGUGUUUGAUCCCAAGGCAACCUAUGAAAGCUAUGGGUCUGAGCUGAAAGUAGUGUUACUCACUAGCAUCAAUUCUAAAGUUGUUGGAGCUAAGAAAACUGAAUAUAUUGUCACAUGUCUUGCAUAUCUAUACCUAACGACGACCGCUAUACGUGGA